rnacentral:rRNA from 1 species
UACAGAGAGUGCAAACGUUGUUCGGAAUUACUGGGCUUAAAGCGCACGUAGGCGGUGUCGUAAGUGUCAGGUGAAAUCCCACGGCUCACCCGUGGAACUGCCUGGCAUACUGCGAUACUCGAGUGUGGUAGGGGAGAGCGGAACUCCUGGUGGAGCGGUGAAAUGCGUAGAUAUCAGGAGGAACACCGGUGGCGAAGGCGGCAUCCUGGACCGGCAUUGACGCUGAGGCGCGAAAGCCAGGGGAGCAAACGGG